GAUGAAGAACGCAGUGAAAUGCGAUAAGUAAUGUGAAUUGCAGAAUUCAGUGAAUUAUCGAAUCUUUGAACGCACAUUGCGCCCGUCAGUAUUCUGGCGGGCAUGCCUGUUCGAGCGUCAUUACGCCCCUCAAGUCCCCUGUGGACUUGGUGUUGGGGAUCGGCGAGGCUGGUUUUCCAGCACAGCCGUCCCUUAAAUUAAUUGGCGGUCUCGCCGUGGCCCUCCUCUGCGCAGUAGUAAAACACUCGCAACAGGAGCCCGGCGCGGUCCACUGCCGUAAAACCCCCCAACUUUUUAUAGUUGACCUCGAAUCAGGUAGGACUACCCGCUGAACUUAAGCAUAUCAAUAAGCGGAGGA
rnacentral:misc_RNA from 1 species